rnacentral:rRNA from 1 species
CAAUUGAAGGGUUUGAUCCUGGCUCAGAAUGAACGUUGGCGGCGUGGAUUAGGCAUGCAAGUCGAGCGACAAGGUCAGAUGAAUCCCUUCGGGGUGAAGCCUGACUGGAGGAGCGGCAAACGGGGUAGUAAUGCGUCGGAACGCACCCACGGGACCGGGAUAGCCGAGGGAAACUUCGUGUAAUACCGGAUAACCUCUUCGGAGCAAAUGGUGAGCCGCCUGUGGACCGGCCGACGUGAU